AACGCUGGCGGCGUGCUUAACACAUGCAAGUCGAACGAAGGCUUCGGCCUUAGUGGCGGACGGGUGAGUAACGCGUGGGAAUCUACCUUACGGCGGGGAAUAACAGUUGGAAACGACUGCUAAUACCGCAUACGCUCUACGGAGGAAAGGCUUCGGCCACCGUUUGAGGAUCCCGCGUCCGAUUAGCUAGUUGGUAGGGUAACGGCCUACCAAGGCGACGAUCGGUAGCUGGUCUGAGAGGAUGAUCAGCCACACUGGGACUGAGACACGGCCCAGACUCC
rnacentral:rRNA from 1 species